rnacentral:rRNA from 1 species
AGAGUUUGAUCAUGGCUCAGGAUAAACGCUGGCGGCGUGCCUAACACAUGCAAGUCGAACGAUCCCGCAAGGGAGAGUGGCGGAAGGGUGAGUAACACGUGGGAAUCUACCUCCUCGCAGGGAACAACCUCUCGAAAGAGAGGCUAAUACCCAAAAGGGUCAGAAAUGAUCAGAGUCGAAAGGCGUGAGGAGAGGAGCCCGCGGCCCAUCAGCUAGUUGGUGAGGUAAUGGCUUACCAAGGCUACGACGGGUAGGGGAUCUGAGAGGAUGUCCCCCACACUGGAACUGAAACACGGUCCAGACGCCUACGGGUGGCAGCAGUGAGGAAUAUUGGACAAUGGGCGAAAGCCCGAUCCAGCAACGCCGCGUGGAGGAUGAAGGCCUUCGGGUCGUAAACUUCUUUAGAGGGAGACGAGAAAGGACGGUAUCCCUAGAAUAAGCGACGGCAAACUACGUG